UCCGCCCGCUGGCGGCGUGCUUAACACAUGCAAGUCGAACGGAAAGGCCCCCUUGUGGGGUACUCGAGUGGCGAACGGGUGAGUAACACGUGAGUAACCUACCCUUGACUUUGGGAUAACUUCAGGAAACUGGGGCUAAUACCGGAUAGGAGCUCCUGCUGCAUGGUGGGGGUUGGAAAGUUUCGGCGGUUGGGGAUGGACUCGCGGCUUAUCAGCUUGUUGGUGGGGUAGUGGCUCACCAAGGCUUUGACGGGUAGCCGGCCUGAGAGGGUGACCGGCCACAUUGGGACUGAGAUACGGCCCAGACUCCUACGGGAGGCAGCAGUGGGGAAUAUUGCACAAUGGGCGGAAGCCUGAUGCAGCAACGCCGCGUGCGGGAUGACGGCCUUCGGGUUGUAAACCGCUUUCGCCUGUGACGAAGCGUGAGUGACGGUAAUGGGUAAAGAAGCACCGGCUAACUACGU
rnacentral:rRNA from 1 species